CCUACGGGAGGCUGCAGUCGAGAAUAAUUCACAAUGGGGGAAACCCUGAUGGUGCGACGCCGCGUGGGGGAAUGAAGUUCUUGGGAUUGUAAACCCUUGUCAUGUGGGAGCAAAUUAAAAAGAUAGUACCACAAGAGGAAGAGACGGCAAACUCGGUGCCAGCAGCCGCGGUAAUACAGAGGUCUCAAGCGUUGUUCGGAAUCACUGGGCGUAAAGCGUGCGUAGGCUGUUUCGUAAGUCGUGUGUGAAAGGCGCGGGCUCAACCCGCGAACGGCACAUGAUACUGCGAGACUAGAGUAAGGGAGGGGGAGCCGGAAUUCUCGGUGUAGCAGUGAAAUGCGUAGAUAUCGAGAGGAACACUCGUGGCGAAGGCGGGUUCCUGGACAUUAACUGACGCUGAGGCACGAAGGCCAGGGGAGCGAAAGGGAUUAGAUACCCGGGUAGUC
rnacentral:rRNA from 1 species